rnacentral:tRNA from 1 species
GCGAGAGUGGCGAAAUUGGCAGACGCACUGGACUUAGGAUCCAGCCCGCUCUAAAGCGGAUAGGGGUUCAAGUCCCCUCUCUCGCACCA